rnacentral:lncRNA from 1 species
AAAGUGAAGGAAACGCUGGGAAAUUUGGAAGUCAGAUAUGAGAGCUAAUGCUGGCAGCUAUUGGGAUGUCCUCUUCCAGGACUGGUGAUGAGUUUCCCUGGAUCCAGCCCUGGCCUGGCUGAGGGAUUAUUUUCAGACCUCAUGAAGCUGCUGGCUUAUAGAACAGGAGUCUUUCUGUUGGCAGCCAGGAGAGAUACAAGAGGGGGAGGACAGAUUCUGCAGCUCCAUUUCGCCCUUGGGACAGGAGAAAGGGUUGGAAAACAAAGAUCACUUUUCUCUGGCCAAAUGGAGUCACCCAACGAAGUACCUUCCUAAUGGGCCAGCUCUUUCAGAUGACGAAGGUUGAAGAAGCGGCAUCAUCAGAGAACUGUGUUUUGAAGAUUUGAGGGAAGGGCUGACCUCAGGAUUUUAUACUAGGUUUGUGUAAACACACAAGAUUCUUUUUCUCUCUGUCCCAAAUUUAAUCAUCACACUCAUUCAAGUGAAAUAUGAAGUCAUAAGUAUUAAAAUAUGCAUGAGAUUUUG